rnacentral:rRNA from 1 species
GAUGAACGCUGGCGGCGUGCCUAAUACAUGCAAGUCGAGCGAACGGACGAGAAGCUUGCUUCUCUGAUGUUAGCGGCGGACGGGUGAGUAACACGUGGAUAACCUACCUAUAAGACUGGGAUAACUUCGGGAAACCGGAGCUAAUACCGGAUAAUAUUUUGAACCGCAUGGUUCAAAAGUGAAAGACGGUCUUGCUGUCACUUAUAGAUGGAUCCGCGCUGCAUUAGCUAGUUGGUAAGGUAACGGCUUACCAAGGCAACGAUGCAUAGCCGACCUGAGAGGCGGAUCGGCCACACUGGACCUGAGACACGGUCCAGUCUCCUACUGGAGGCAGCAGUAGGGAAUAUUCCGCAAAGGGCGGAAGCCUGACGGAGCAACGCCGCGUGAGUGAUGAAGGUCUUCGGAUCGUAAAACUCUGUUAUUAGGGAAGAACAUAUGUGUAAGUAACUGUGCACAUCUUGACGGUACCUAAUCAGAAAGCAACGGCUAACUACGUG